GACGUAGGGUGCGAGCGUUGUCCGGAUUUAUUGGGCGUAAAGAGCUCGUAGGCGGCUCGUCGCGUCGACCGUGAAAACCUGCAGCUUAACUGUGGGCGUGCGGUCGAUACGGGCAUCACUGGAGUUCGGCAGGGGAGACUGGAAUUCCUGGUGUAGCGGUGGAAUGCGCAGAUAUCAGGAGGAACACCAAUAGCGAAGGCAGCUCGCUGGGACGUUACUGACACUGAGGCGCGAAAGCGUGGGGAGCGAACAGG
rnacentral:rRNA from 1 species